ensembl:miRNA microRNA 204
CCUGUGGACUUCCCUUUGUCAUCCUAUGCCUGAGGAUAUAUGAAGGGGGCUGGGAAGGCAAAGGGACGUUCAAUUGU